ACGGAAGGCAGCAGUGGGGAAUAUUGCACAAUGGGGGAAACCCUGAUGCAGCAACGCCGCGUGAGUGAAGAAGUAUUUCGGUAUGUAAAGCUCUAUCAGCAGGGAAGAUAAUGACGGUACCUGACUAAGAAGCUCCGGCUAAAUACGUGCCAGCAGCCGCGGUAAUACGUAUGGAGCAAGCGUUAUCCGGAUUUACUGGGUGUAAAGGGUGCGUAGGUGGCAUGGUAAGUCAGAUGUGAAAUACCGGGGCUCAACCCCGGAGCUGCAUUUGAAACUGCCAGGCUGGAGUACAGGAGAGGCAAGCGGAAUUCCUAGUGUAGCGGUGAAAUGCGUAGAUAUUGGGAGGAACACCGGUGGCGAAGGCGGUUUACUGGACCACAACUGACGCUGAGACACGAAAGCGUGGGGAGCAAACAGGAUUAGAUACCCUGGUA
rnacentral:rRNA from 1 species